GUUUAAGAAAGGAGCAGGCUGGUCCGGCUGGAAAACAGCUACAAUAGCAGCAAGGGUUAAGCAGUGGCAGAGUUUAGAGAGACAGCACACUCCAAAAGACAAGGCAGAGUGAGCCGCUAGAAAAAGAAUGAGCCAGCAGCCCUGAGAGUUCUGUGUUGAGGUUUUUCUUACAUCAGACUCUUUAAGUUUGUGCUUCUGUCUUAAGUCUCUGCCUUUGUCUUUGUCUGGUUUCCCACUUCUGCCUUAAGUCUCUGCCUUUCCCCCACCUAGUUCCCAUUCCAGGUUUGUGGGAUUCUCCCUUACUGUCAUUUGUUACAGAGGUACAGGCUCAGUGUUGGAUAUGAAUCCUUCCUAAUCGUGCUCAUUACAAUCACCCCAGGGAGGUCUCAUAGUGGUUAAAUAUGUACUUACUGCACCUGCAUGCCUCUUAGGAAUUUCACCUUUGCCCUCUUUCCUUCCCUAUCGGCAUGUAGCUAGCUACCUUCUGACAGCUUAACUGCACAGUGAGCAAUUACUGGGCAUCUUAAGGGAUGUCCGAGAGUGUUCCUUCCUGCAUACGUAUUUUGCCUCCUCUCUGCUCAUAUCUAGCAUGCAUGUUUUGGGUGGUCUCUGGGGUGUGAGAUUUUCCAGACCUUCUUUUCUCAGGGGCUUCCCCCUCCUGUUCAUGUCUAGCUAUCUGCCUGUCCUAACAUUUGCGCUAGUCUUGCCUUCCUUCCUUUCUCCUUUCUUCCCUUCCUUCUUUCUUCCCAGUUGAGCUCCUGUAAUCUCUCAGGAGAGUGCAAAUUAAUUUCAUUAUGAGAAUUUACAUCUUUAUUUCAAUGCUGGGAAUAUGAAUUGGGAAAAAGCUCUCAUUUUGAACUUUCAUUUUGUUUCACAUUCUUUAGAAAAGGAGGAUAAAGCAGGAUUUGGAGGCAGAACCUUAGCUUUUCCUUUGGUUUUUUUAAGUGCUCCCAGGUAUUCUCCCUCUCUAAAAUUAUCAGUGUCCGUUUUUAGACACAAUAGGAGAAAGUGGCUUUUAAUAACCAGUGUCUGACUUCUUAGGGCAGGAAGCUGGGUAGAUUAAUUGAAACAUUCUAAAACUAAAUAAAGUUGGUAUCGGGGGUCCAGCUGAGCACACACAGGUGUUACAUGCAAGACCCCCUAGUUUGUUGCCGUAUCAGAAAGUGAUUGUACCUUCAGCUGAAAGCAUGAGAUUGUCCUUAGAACUAGAGAUAGAUCCCAUUUGUAUUUGUUUUUCCUGUUUGAAAGUUACACUUGAAAUGUACGUAGAUGUUAUUUGUCUACAGUAAUUUUCUUGUAACCAUAUCGUUAAAUCUUUGUCAGAUUUGUAUUUUCUGCUUUCAGUCAGCAACACAAUAUUUAUUCAUUUCAGUACUCACAUAUCUCAAGUUCAACUCAAUAUUUCAUUUAUUGAAGCUAAAUAAAAUGGCUACAUAAUUUACCAGUUAUUAAUGUAUUCUGAUUGUGCCAGCCUUCAGUGUGAACCUCUGGAAACUAAAUAAGAUGUGUGACCUAUGUUCUUCUAUGUUGUCUUACAGCUGCUGUAGUAAUAGUAGUUAAGAUGUAUUAAUGUAAGAAGUAGAAUAUUAUUACAUACUUAGAUGUCAGUAAUGUCUAAAUACUUCAUGAGUCUUGCUAUAUUUAAUAAUUGAAAAUGCCAUAGUGGAUAUUUUGACACAGAUGUACAGAAUCUCAGAAAAGGCUAGACUUGGGCAGGACUGGGGUAUGGGCCUAGAAAUUGGACAGGUGUGGUGUGAAAUUGCAACCCUUGUACACACUGGCCACAGGACCUCAGGGAAGAUGUCUUAUCUGUGUAAUAAGAAUAUUACUUACCUUAUGGAUAUUGUAAUGAUAAAGUCAAUGAAUAUAUGACAAGUCCUUGGAAUAUAAUAAAUACUAAAUAAA
rnacentral:lncRNA from 10 species